rnacentral:rRNA from 1 species
AGGGAUGACGGCCUUCGGGUUGUAAACCUCUUUUAGCAGGGAAGAAGCGAAAGUGACGGUACCUGCAGAAAAAGCGCCGGCUAACUACGUGCCAGCAGCCGCGGUAAUACGUAGGGCGCAAGCGUUAUCCGGAAUUAUUGGGCGUAAAGAGCUCGUAGGCGGUUUGUCGCGUCUGCUGUGAAAUCCGGAGGCUCAACCUCCGGCCUGCAGUGGGUACGGGCAGACUAGAGUGCGGUAGGGGAGAUUGGAAUUCCUGGUGUAGCGGUGGAAUGCGCAGAUAUCAGGAGGAACACCGAUGGCGAAGGCAGAUCUCUGGGCCGUAACUGACGCUGAGGAGCGAAAGGGUGGGGAGCAAACAGGCUUAGAUACCCUGGUAGUCCACCCCGUAAACGUUGGGAACUAGUUGUGGGGUCCAUUCCACGGAUUCCGUGACGCAGCUAACGCAUUAAGUUCCCCGCCUGGGGAGUACGGCCGCAAGGCUAAAACUCAAAGGAAUUGACGGGGACCCGCACAAGCGGCGGAGCAUGCGGAUUAAUUCGAUGCAACGCGAAGAACCUUACCAAGGCUUGACAUAUACGAGAACGGGCCAGAAAUGGUCAACUCUUUGGACACUCGUAAACAGGUGGUGC